rnacentral:rRNA from 1 species
CCAUGCAAGUCGAACGAUGAAGCUGGAGUUUACUUUGGUGGAUUAGUGGCGAACGGGUGAGUAACACGUGAGCAACGUGCCCAGGACUCUGGAAUAACGUCGGGAAACCGUCGCUAAUACUGGAUAGGUGCCAUGGCCGCAUGGUCUGUGGUUGGAAAGAUUUAUUGGUUCUGGAUCGGCUCAUGGCCUAUCAGCUUGUUGGUGGGGUAAUGGCCUACCAAGGCGACGACGGGUAGCCGGCCUGAGAGGGUGACCGGCCACACUGGGACUGAGAUACGGCCCAGACUCCUACGGGAGGCAGCAGUGGGGAAUAUUGCACAAUGGGCGCAAGCCUGAUGCAGCAACGCCGCGUGAGGGAUGACGGCCUUCGGGUUGUAAACCUCUUUUAGUAGGGAAGAAGCUUUCGGGUGACGGUACCUGCAGAAAAAGCACCGGCUAACUACGUGCCAGCAGCCGCGGUAAUACGUAGGGUGCAAGCGUUGUCCGGAAUUAUUGGGCGUAAAGAGCUCGUAGGUGGUUUGUCGCGUCUGCUGUGAAAGCCCGGGGCUCAACUCCGGGUCUGCAGUGGGUACGGGCAGACUUGAGUGCGGUAGGGGAGAUUGGAAUUCCUGGUGUAGCGGUGGAAUGCGCAGAUAUCAGGAGGAACACCGAUGGCGAAGGCAGAUCUCUGGGCCGUUACUGACGCUGAGGAGCGAAAGCAUGGGGAGCGAACAGGAUUAGAUACCCUGGU